rnacentral:rRNA from 1 species
AGCGAACGCUGGCGGCAGGCUUAACACAUGCAAGUCGAACGGGCUUCUUCGGAAGUCAGUGGCAGACGGGUGAGUAACACGUGGGAACGUGCCCUUCGGUUCGGAAUAACUCAGGGAAACUUGAGCUAAUACCGGAUACGCCCUUUUGGGGAAAGGUUGACUGCCGAAGGAUCGGCCCGCGUCUGAUUAGCUUGUUGGUGGGGUAACGGCCUACCAAGCCGACGAUCAGUAGCUGGUCUGAGAGGAUGAUCAGCCACACUGGGACUGAGACACGGCCCAGACUCCUACGGGAGGCAGCAGUGGGGAAUAUUGGACAAUGGGCGCAAGCCUGAUCCAGCCAUGCCGCGUGAGUGAUGAAGGCCUUAGGGUUGUAAAGCUCUUUUGUCCGGGACGAUAAUGACGGUACCGGAAGAAUAAGCCCCGGCUAACUUCGUG